rnacentral:rRNA from 1 species
UGCGUAGGCGGAUAAUUAAGUGAGGUGUGAAAUACCCGAGCUCAACUUGGGUGCUGCAUUUCAAACUGGUUAUCUAGAGUGCAGGAGAGGAAAGUGGAAUUCCAGUGUAGCGGUGAAAUGCGUAGAGAUUAGGAAGAACACCAGUGGCGAAGGCGACUUUCUGGACUGUAACUGACGCUGAGGCACGAAAGCGUGGGAGCGAACA